rnacentral:rRNA from 1 species
AGUGAACGCUGGCGGUAGGCCUAACACAUGCAAGUCGAACGGCAGCACAGUAAGAGCUUGCUCUUACGGGUGGCGAGUGGCGGACGGGUGAGGAAUACAUCGGAAUCUACUUUUUCGUGGGGGAUAACGUAGGGAAACUUACGCUAAUACCGCAUACGACCUACGGGUGAAAGCAGGGGAUCUUCGGACCUUGCGCGAUUGAAUGAGCCGAUGUCGGAUUAGCUAGUUGGCGGGGUAAAGGCCCACCAAGGCGACGAUCCGUAGCUGGUCUGAGAGGAUGAUCACCCACAGUGGAGCUAAGACCCGGUCCAACCCCCUACGGGGGGACCGAGGGGGGAAUUUUGAAAACGGGGGGAAAGCCUGUCCCAGCCAUCCCGGGGGGGUAAAAAAGGCCUUCGGGUUGUAAAGCCCUUUUGUUGGGAAAGAAAAGCAGCAGGUUAAUACCCCGCUGUUCUGACGGUACCAAAAAAAAAAGCCCCGGCUACCUUCGU